rnacentral:rRNA from 1 species
UGCGUCCUACGGGAGGCAGCAGUGAGGAAUAUUGGUCAAUGGGCGGAAGCCUGAACCAGCCAAGUCGCGUGAGGGAUUAAGGCCCUAUGGGUCGUAAACCUCUUUUGUCAGGGAGCAAUGGCGUCCACGUGUGGGCGUAUGGAGAGUACCUGAAGAAAAAGCAUCGGCUAACUCCGUGCCAGCAGCCGCGGUAAUACGGAGGAUGCGAGCGUUAUCCGGAUUUAUUGGGUUUAAAGGGUGCGUAGGCGGGCUUUUAAGUCAGCGGUAAAAAUUCGGGGCUCAACCCCGUCCGGCCGUUGAAACUG